rnacentral:rRNA from 1 species
GAUGAACGCUAGCUACAGGCUUAACACAUGCAAGUCGAGGGGAAACGACAUCGAAAGCUUGCUUUUGAUGGGCGUCGACCGGCGCACGGGUGAGUAACGCGUAUCCAACCUGCCCAUCACUUGGGGAUAACCUUGCGAAAGUAAGACUAAUACCCAAUGAUAUCUCUAGAAGACAUCUGAAAGAGAUUAAAGAUUUAUCGGUGAUGGAUGGGGAUGCGUCUGAUUAGCUUGUUGGCGGGGUAACGGCCCACCAAGGCAACGAUCAGUAGGGGUUCUGAGAGGAAGGUCCCCCACAUUGGAACUGAGACACGGUCCAAACUCCUAUGGGAGGCAGCAGUGAGGAAUAUUGGUCAAUGGGCGAGAGCCUGAACCAGCCAAGUAGCGUGCAGGAAGACGGCCCUAUGGGUUGUAAACUGCUUUUAUAAGGGAAUAAAGUGAGAGUCGUGACUCUUUUCGUAUGUACCUUAUGAAUAAGGACCGGCUAAUUCCGUG